GUAAGGAAUAUUGGGCAAUGGACGCAAGUCUGACCCAGCCAUGCCGCGUGCAGGAUGAAUGUCCUAUGGAUUGUAAACUGCUUUUGUACGGGAAAAAUUCCCUGGUCGUGAACCGGGGUUGAUGGUACCGUGCGAAUAAGCAUCGGCUAACUCCGUGCCAGCAGCCGCGGUAAUACGGAGGAUGCAAGCGUUAUCCGGAUUCAUUGGGUUUAAAGGGUGCGCAGGCGGAGUGAUAAGUCAGAGGUGAAAGCCCCCAGCUCAACUGGGGAACUGCCUUUGAUACUGUCAUUCUUGAGUACAGUCGAAGUUGGCGGAAUGUGUCAUGUAGCGGUGAAAUGCUUAGAUAUGACACAGAACACCGAUAGCGAAGGCAGCUGGCUAGACUGUAACUGACGCUCAUGCACGAAAGCGUGGGGAUCAAACAGGAUUAGAUACCCCUGUAGUCC
rnacentral:rRNA from 1 species